rnacentral:rRNA from 1 species
AUUGAACGCUGGCGGAAUGCUAAGCACAUGCAGGUCGAGCGAGCUGUAGCAAUACAGCUAGCGGCGGACGGGUGAGGAAUACACAGGAAUCUGCCUCAGAGCGGGGGAUAGCCCGGGGAAACUCGGAGUAAUACCGCAUGAUGUCGCAAGACCAAAGUGGGGGACCGCAAGGCCCCACACUCUGAGAUGAGCCUAUGUCUGAUUAGCUAGUUGGCGGGGUAAUGGCCCACCAAGGCGAUGAGCAGUAGCUGGUCUGAGAGGGCGAUCAGCCACACCGGAACUGAGACACGGUCCGGACUCCUACGGGAGGCAGCAGUGGGGAAUAUUGGACAAUGGGCGCAAGCCUGAUCCAGCAAUUCCGCGUGGGUGAAGAAGGCCUUCGGGUUGUAAAGCCCUUUAAGUUGGGACAAAAAAAUCGGCGAUCACAUCGCCGGUCUUGAUGGUACCGACAGAAUAAGCAACGGCUAACUCUGUGCCAGCCGCCGCGGUAA